rnacentral:rRNA from 1 species
CACCGGCAGCUCUAGUGGUAGCUGUUUUUAUUGGGCCCUAAAGCGUUCGUAGCCGGUUUGAUAAGUCUCUGGUGAAAUCCUGUAGCUUAACUGUGGGAAUUGCUGGUGAUACUGUUGAACUUGAGGUCGGGAGAGGUUAGCGGUACUCCCAGGGUAGAGGUGAAAUUCUGUAAUCCUGGGAGGACCACCUGUGGCGAAGGCGGCUAACUGGAACGAACCUGACGGUGAGGGACGAAAGCUAGGGGCGCGAACCGGAUUAGAUACCCGGGUAGUCCCUGAGCGGGCUGGCAA